ACGGAGGAUCCGAGCGUUAUCCGGAUUUACUGGGUUUAAAGGGUGCGUAGGCGGGCGCUUAAGUCAGCGGUGAAAUGCGGGGGCUCAACCUUCGAACGGCCGUUGAUACUGGGUGCCUUGGAUUCGGUCGAGGCGGGGGGAAUGCGACAUGUAGCGGUGAAAUGCUUAGAUAUGUCGCAGAACGCCGAUUGCGAAGGCAUCUCGCCGGACCGAUAUUGACGCUGAGGCACGAAAGCGUGGGGAUCGAACAG
rnacentral:rRNA from 1 species